AUGGAUGAAUUAAGACCGAAUAAUCAUUUCUGUUUACAAGGGAACCAUACCUUUUUACACAGACAAAUGCUUAUAAAGGUAUUUGAUCCUGAUUUAUGUUUGUCUCCAUUUCGCCUUCAGAUGGCCCACCUGUUUGAACUCCAACAGCUGGUGGGAGUUUCAGGAAUGAGCCUCUAAACAUGGCCACAGCUCAGUGAUACUGACGAACCAAACAUCCCUUUGCUGGACCUAUGCAAACAUGAAACAGACAAAGAGAAGUGAGUAUGUGGCAUUCAUCAGGGGAGUAAGACCAAUGCGAAUUUUGUAAGCAGUAUACAGCCUUGUCAAACAUGAUUACUUGGAAAAUUACUAACUAAACCUUCCCUUAGCCUUCUCACAUUUAGUCAAGAUUUCAUGAAGAGUUGUAAGAGAAAAGUUUUUCCAGGUUCUCCUUUACUCAGAAGGACCACGGACUUUGAACAGCUUGAUAAUCCAGCUUUCUGAAACUUUUCCGUGCAUAUGUAUCACUGGGGUAUCUUAUUAAAGCACAUAUUCUAAUUUUUUGGUCUGGGGUGGGGCCUGAGAUUCUGCAUUUAAAAUAACCUCCAAGGUGAUGCCAAUGUGUUCCUGAUGCUGGGAUCCUAUUUUAAGUAGCAAAGGUCUUGUUAGAAUCAGCCCAACCAGUGGAAGGCAGACGAUCACAGUUCUUGACUGUGAGUUUCGGACAAUGAUUGUUGAUGUUCAGAUGGAAUUUUAUGAAGCUAAACAUUACCUUUGGCCUGUAUAGUGAGUAUACUACCACUCAAGUGGUGGGGUGUGUGUUCGUAUUUCUCUCAAAAACAAAGCUGAAAAGCCAAUGGGUACAUGGGCAGCAAGGAGAAGAAUGCUAAAAUAAAAUAUUAUUGCAAAAAGGUGGAGAUCAAUAAUCUGCAGCUAUUUCUUUUUCUUUCUUUCCUUUCUUUCUUUCUUUUUUUUUUUUCUGAGACAAGGUUUCACUCUGUCACCUAGACUGGAGUACAGUGGCACAAGCAUCAAUCACUGGAGCCUCGAACUCCUGGGCUCAAGUGAUCUUCUUACCUCAGCCCUCCAA
rnacentral:lncRNA from 1 species